rnacentral:rRNA from 1 species
UACGAAGGGGGCUAGCGUUGCUCGGAAUUACUGGGCGUAAAGCGCACGUAGGCGGAUCGUUAAGUCGGGGGUGAAAUCCUGGAGCUCAACUCCAGAACUGCCUUCGAUACUGGCGAGCUCGAGUUCGGUAGAGGUUGGUGGAACUGCGAGUGUAGAGGUGAAAUUCGUAGAUAUUCGCAAGAACACCAGUGGCGAAGGCGGCUCACUGGCCCGAUACUGACGCUGAGGCGCGAAAGCGUGGGGAGCAAACAGG